CACCAUUUUAAUAGAAUGUCCUAAAGGUCAUGGCUACUAUACUAUUAUGAGUAUUGGAGCCCUCGUACUCAUAAGUUGUUUUCAAUGAUGGAGUUUCCGAAUCGACGAUUCACUCCGUUAAAUAUGAUCUAGAGUAUUUGAAACUUCUAGUAAAUAAAUUUUGUAAAUUUUCGAAAUCAUAAUAAAGUCCAUCAAGUGGGCAUAAAAUGAACGGUCAAAAUCGAACGACGUCCUAAAAAAGGAUGAUCGGAUCCUUUAAUUCAAGAUCGGAGUUAUUGAUCUUUAUCUAUGCAGUGAAUAGAAUUUUCUAUCAAAAAUUCAACAAAUUCCGAUUCUUUUACACCGUUAAACUAGCAAGUAUCCCAUACCGGCCGUUAAAAAUUGUCAAAUUUGUGACCUCUUAAUCGUAAGAUAAAUGAUGUCGAAAAUUCAUAAAAUUUGAUUUCUAGAAGUUUUAAAUGUCAUAAAUAACGUUUAACGGUGUGGAUCGUCGAUUCGGAAGUUAUAUCAUCGAAAACAACUUAUGAGUACGAGGGCGAUCGUACUCAUAAUAGUAUAGUAGGCGGACCCUGUCCUAAAUAUCGAAUUUACUCAAAACAAU
rnacentral:lncRNA from 1 species